UGGGGAAUAUUGCACAAUGGGCGCAAGCCUGAUGCAGCCAUGCCGCGUGUGUGAAGAAGGCCUUCGGGUUGUAAAGCACUUUCAGCGGGGAGGAAGGCGAUAAGGUUAAUAACCUUGUCGAUUGACGUUACCCGCAGAAGAAGCACCGGCUAACUCCGUGCCAGCAGCCGCNNUAAUACGGAGGGUGCAAGCGUUAAUCGGAAUUACUGGGCGUAAAGCGCACGCAGGCGGUCUGUCAAGUCGGAUGUGAAAUCCCCGGGCUCAACCUGGGAACUGCAUUCGAAACUGGCAGGCUAGAGUCUUGUAGAGGGGGGUAGAAUUCCAGGUGUAGCGGUGAAAUGCGUAGAGAUCUGGAGGAAUACCGGUGGCGAAGGCGGCCCCCUGGACAAAGACUGACGCUCAGGUGCGAAAGCGUGGGGAGCAAACAGGAUUAGAUACCCUGGUAGUCCACGCUGUAAACGAUGUCGAUUUGGAGGUUGUGCCCUUGAGGCGUGGCUUCCGGAGCUAACGCGUUAAAUCGACCGCCUGGGGAGUACGGCCGCAAGGUUA
rnacentral:rRNA from 1 species